rnacentral:rRNA from 1 species
UACGUAGGGGGCAAGCGUUGUCCGGAAUCAUUGGGCGUAAAGAGCGUGUAGGCGGCUUGGUAAGUCCGCUGUGAAAGUCCAGGGCUCAACCCUGGAAAGCCGGUGGAAACUGUCAAGCUUGAGUCCGGAAGAGGCGAGUGGAAUUCACGGUGUAGCAGUGAAAUGCGUAGAUAUCGUGAGGAACACCAAUGGCGAAGGCAGCUCGCUGGGACGGUACUGACGCUGAGACGCGAAAGCGUGGGGAGCAAACAGG